rfam:Dorea sp. 5-2 genomic scaffold acPFE-supercont1.15, whole genome shotgun sequence.
AACCGCCGUGUGCCGAAUGGUACGCACGGUGGUGUGAGAGGUCGAAAUUUCCUCAAUUGAGGAAAUUUCUCCUACUCGAU